GGAGAUAUAGCUCAGUGGUAGAGCAUGUGCUUAGCAUGUAUGAGGUCCUGGGUUCAAUCCCCAGUACCUCCU
rnacentral:tRNA from 1 species